rnacentral:rRNA from 1 species
GGGGGGGGGGGGGGGGGUGCCGAGGACGUGCGGGGCGGGCGGACGGGUGGGGGGCUGGGUGCGCUGGCGUUGGCGGCGGACGGGUGAGUAACACGUGGAUAACCUACCUAUAAGACUGGGAUAACUUCGGGAAACCGGAGCUAAUACCGGGUAAUAUAUUGAACCGCAUGGUUCAAUAGUGAAAGACGGUUUUGCUGUCACUUAUAGAUGGAUCCGCGCCGGAUUAGCUAGUUGGUCAGGUAACGGCUUACCAAGGCAACGAUGCGUAGCCGACCUGAGAGGGUGAUCGGCCACACUGGAACUGAGACACGGUCCAGACUCCUACGGGAGGCAGCAGUAGGGAAUCUUCCGCAAUGGGCGAAAGCCUGACGGAGCAACGCCGCGUGAGUGAUGAAGGUCUUCGGAUCGUAAAACUCUGUUAUUAGGGAAGAACAAAUGUGUAAGUAACUAUGCACGUCUUGACGGUACCUAAUCAGAAAGCCACGGCUAACUACGUG